CGCCGGUCGCGCGGUGGCGGAACGCGACGGCCGCCGGCGCCGUCAUCGUCGCCGCGGCGGUGAGCCACACGGUCCCACGCCUCGACCGUCGA
rnacentral:tRNA from 1 species